UAAACUAGGGGGAGGGUGGUGCGUGAGUAGGUCGGUGGGGGGCGGUGGCCGGAAUGACGGGGCGUAAAGUAUGCGUUGGGUGAUACGUAAGUGGGAUGUGAAAGCGCCGGGCUCAACCCAGGAACUGCAUGCCAAAUGGGGUAUCUAGAGUGCAUGAGAGGAGAGCGGAAUUCCUAGUGGAGCGGUGAAAGGCGUAGAUAUUAGGAGGAACGCCAGUGGCGAAGGCGGCUUUCUGGACUGUAACUGACACUGAGGCAUGAAAGCGUGGGUAGCAAACAGGAUUAGAUACCCUGGUAGUC
rnacentral:rRNA from 1 species